rnacentral:rRNA from 1 species
GAUGAACGCUAGCGGCAGGCUUAAUACAUGCAAGUUGAGGGGCAGCAUGAUAUACGCGAGUAUAUUGAUGGCGACCGGCGGACGGGUGAGUAAUAGGUAGGAGACCUACCUCAUACAGGGGGAUAGCAUAGAGAAAUCUGUGGUAAUACCCCAUGAGGUUAUAUGAAUAGAGGCAUAUAAUCAAAGCAUAAGCGAUUAUGCGGUAUGAGAGGGGCCUACUGACCAUUAGCUAGUUGGUGAGGUAAGGGCUCACCAAGGCGAAGAUGGUUAGGGGUUUUGAGAGAGAGACCCCCCACAUUGGAACUGAGAGACGGUCCAGACUCCUACGGGAGGCAGCAGUAGGGAAUAUUGGGCAAUGGGCGAAAGCCUGACCCAGCCAUGCCGCGUGAAGGAAGACAGCCUUAUGGGUUGUAAACUUCUUUACUACGCGAAUAGAGGUUAGUACGAGAUACUAAUAGGAAGGUAGUGUAAGUAAAAAGCAACCGGCUAACUCCGUA